CAAUAGCGUAUAUUUAAGUUGUUGCAGUUAAAAAGCUCGUAGUCGGAUUUUGGCCGAGAACGAUCGGUCCGCCGUUAGGUGUGCACUGAUUGGUCUCAGCUUCCUGGUGAGGAGGUGUGCUUCACGGCCACUUAGUCACCGUGGUUACUUUGAAAAAAUUAGAGUGUUCAAAGCGGGCUUACGCUUGAAUAUAUUAGCAUGGAAUAACACCAUAGGACUCCUGUCCUAUUUCGUUGGUCUCGGGACGGGAGUAAUGAUUAAGAGGAACAGUUGGGGGCAUUCGUAUUUCAUUGUCAGAGGUGAAAUUCUUGGAUUUAUGAAAGACGAACUUCUGCGAAAGCAUUUGCCAAGGAUGUUUUCAUUGA
rnacentral:rRNA from 1 species